GAAUAUUGGACAAUGGGCGAAAGCCUGGUCCAGCCAUGCCGCGUGUGUGAAGAAGGUCUUCGGAUUGUAAAGCACUUUAAGUUGGGAGGAAGGGCAGUCAGCGAAUACCUUGCUGUUUUGACGUUACCGCCAGAAUACGUCCCGGCUAACUCUGUGCCCUCAUCCGCGGUAAUACAGAGGGUGCAAGCGUUAAUCGGAAUUACUGGGAGUAAAGCGCGCGUAGGUGGUUCGUUAAGUUGGAUGCGAAAUCCCCGGGCUCAACCUGGGAACUGCAUCCAAAACUGGCGAGCUAGAGUAGGGCAGAGGGUGGUGGAAUUUCCUGUGUAGCGGUGAAAUGCGUAGAUAUAGGAAGGAACACCAGUGGCGAAGGCGACCACCUGGGCUCAUACUGACACUGAGGUGCGAAAGCGUGGGGAGCAAACAG
rnacentral:rRNA from 1 species